rnacentral:rRNA from 1 species
UGCAGCCUGCAACUCGGCUGCAUGAAGCUGGAAUCGCUAGUAAUCGCGAAUCAGAAUGUCGCGGUGAAUACGUUCCCGGGCCUUGUACACACCGCCCGUCACACCAUGAGAGCCGAUAACACCCGAAGCCUGUGAGCUAACCGUAAGGGGCAGCAGUCGAAGGUGGGGUUGGUGAUUGGGGUGAAGUCGUAACAAGGUAGC